rnacentral:rRNA from 1 species
CCUACGGGGGGCAGCAGCGGGGAAUAUUGCACAAUGGGGGAAACCCUGAUGCAGCGACGCCGCGUGAGUGAAGAAGUAUUUCGGUAUGUAAAGCUCUAUCAGCAGGGAAGAAAAUGACGGUACCUGACCAAGAAGCCCCGGCUAACUACGUGCCAGCAGCCGCGGUAAUACGUAGGGGGCAAGCGUUAUCCGGAUUUACUGGGUGUAAAGGGAGCGUAGACGGCCGUGCAAGUCUGAUGUGAAAACCCGGGGCUCAACCCCGGCACUGCAUUGGA